CUAUGACAUAAAAAUCAUGGCAGAAGGAG
rnacentral:ncRNA from 1 species